UAUCUACUCCCUCCGUCCCAAAAUUCUUGUCUUAGAUUUGUCUAAAUACAGAUGCGUCAAGUCAUGUUUUAGUAUUAGAUACACCCGUAUCUAGGCAAAUCUAAGACAAGAAUUUUGGGACGGAGGGAGUAUCAU
rfam:Triticum aestivum genome assembly, contig: Triticum_aestivum_CS42_TGACv1_scaffold_050974_1BS